CUAUCUGUUAUCAACUUGGUGAUUGUGAAGAAGGGUGAGAAUGAUCUGCCUGGUCUGACUGACACUGAGAAGCCAAGGAUGAGGGGUCCCAAGAGGGCCUCCAAGAUCAGAAAGCUGUUCAACCUUAACAAGGAUGAUGAUGUACGCAAGUACGUGAACACAUACCGCAGGACAUUCACUACCAAGAACGGUGAGCUUCCUUGCAUCAAACUGCAGUUGAAUUUCAAUGUCUUGUUAAAGUAGAUUUGACUUUGGUUGGGUUCGACAGUUUGUCUCCCAAGUGCCUGCAUGCUUUGUCUUGGUUAUUUACCCUUCUACUUGGUACUCUGCUUGUUAUGCGCUGGAUGGGUUUCUUGACAAUGAGCCACAGUUUUCUGAAGUUUUUGAACCACAACAAGCUAACCUGUAUGUUUCCUUGGCAGGCAAGAAGGUCAGCAAGGCACCUAAGAUCCAACGGCUUGUGACACCCUUGACCCUCCAGAGGAAGCGUGCUAGAAUCGCUGACAAGAAGAAGAGGAUAACUAAGAAGAAGUCUGAGGCUGCUGAGUACCAGAAGCUUCUUGCCCAGAGGCUGAAGGAACAGAGAGACCGCCGGAGCGAGAGCUUGGCCAAGAGGAGGUCCAAGCUUUCUGCCGCCGCCAAGGCUUCUGCUGCCACCUCUGCUUAAGAAUGUUCAGUGUUUUGGGAUCUUUGUAAGGUCUAUCUUGUAACGGCAAAAGUGUUUUGGGAUCUUUGUAAGCUCCAUAGUUCACAUCACUUAAGUGUUUCUGCUAGUAGUGGAUCCACAACUAUUUGCUUGCUUGGCUCUGAGUCACACCUGACCGAUCAAUGCAGGUGUCACUUUGCUUUUAACUGUUUACAUAUAAAGAGUCGAGUUUCGCACGUGGCCACCUGGGUCCUGAUUAAUCUACCCAUAUAGCUACGUUGGGUUUAGAUGCUUAGGCAUUCUUGUAAAUUGUUUUCUUAAAACUAGUUUUGUUUCUCAGAGAUUUAGCUUCAGUUGGGGAAAUUUGUUUUUUUUAUAAAAGAAUAAGGAAUCUUCUUCCUUAAACCACAUGAGUAUGUCUGCUCUUUAUAAAAGAGUAAGGGACCACUUCCAAAUUAUGUGCCCGUAUUGCAGAUAAACCCCAACCUGAACGAAUGUCCUGUACAAUUUAAUCUCUGUCACGUUUAUUAGGUACUCAUGGAGCAUAACCCCUCUUUCCUUGUUAUAAGCUGGUAAUAUGUAAUUAGAAUCCCUAUAUAACCAUUCAAUACCAAUAUAUUUUUUAUAUCGAAGCAUCACCAACUUAUUUAUAGGUUAAGAGUCCGUUCGGUUAGUUUGGAAUGCAUCUGAAACUGGUCCGUUCGGAUAUAUAUAAUGGACAAUUGUUUAAGGGGGAAUGUUAUGAAUGAUAAGCAAUUGCUUAUCGCAGUUGCUUAUCGCUUCCAGCCAUGGGCUCUAAAGGACGUGUCCUUUGCACGUUCUCCACAUGUUGACAGAUGUGACCCCACGAAAGGAACAGACGGCUCAUGGUCUGCAUGGCUCCAAGGGACGUGCCUCUAGCACGUUCGCACGGACGCUUCUCUUUUCUGUUGUUCAAGGAGAUGUAUAACAACAGAAAAGAGAAGCGUCCGUGCGAACGUGCCAUGCAAACCAGGAGCCGUCUGUUCCUUUCGUGGGGUCACAUCCGUCGAUAUGUGGAGAACGUGCAAAGGACACGUCCUUUGGAGCCCAUGGCUGGAAGCGAUAAGCAAUUGCUUAUCAUUCAUAACAAAUUAGUGAAUAGUUUCCACGGGGAAUUAUUUCGGUCCGUCGUUCCGAAAGAACCGAACAUGCACUAAAGAUCAAGUUUCUCAAGACGGAUAAUAUAACAUUUGGUAAUGCCAUUUAAAAAGUAAACCGACUGGAUUUCUACAUUUAUAUAUACCAAUCAUUUCCACGCCAUCAUCAACCCAUUCAUUCAACCAAAAUACCCCUGUGAUGCUUCCAUAAAAAGCAUUCUAUUAUUUUUCUUCGGAGCUAGUGAAGUUGGACCUGUCCAGAGAUAGCAAGAAUCUGCAAAUUCCUAUAUAUGAAUGAAGCUCCAAACCACCUCUAUUUAGACUAUCCUGAAAUCUUUCUGGUUUAUACGGAAGCAACUCCAAACCACCUCUAUCUAGACUAUCCAUGUUUUUUGAAAUCUUUCUAACCGCUCGAUCGUCGAUCGUCGGCCCACCUUCGUCGCCCAUCACGGUCGUCCGCUCUACACGUGUCCAUCGCUCAAGAGUCAAGAAUAGCCCGACUCCACAUCGUGUCUCGCUCUGGACACUGCGAUCACGGUUUACAAAAUUGUUUCCUAUGUGAAAACCGCUACCCACCGGUAAAAAACGGUAAAAACCGACCGGUUUGACCAAUUCAAAUCAAUUUGAAUUCGAACCGGUUUACCUGCGAAAAACCGGUGAAAAACCAACGAAAACGCGCUCUAAACCACCGGUUAAUCGCGAAGCGAACCGGUUUUUGCUGUUUUUUAUAGAAAAAUGAAAAAUUUUGACAAAAUUUAUUUGUAGUUUGCUCAAUUGACAUUGCACAGUAAAUAUUUUGAUCCAGACGACAUGUGUUCACCAAAAUAACAUAUAACAUACAUAUGCAACCACAAAUUCUAGUUCUCAUGCAACAAACAACCAGCGAACUUCGCAAUACUCAAAUACAAGUUUUUUUUUACAACUCCCUAACGAGGCAACGACACAUACGUCGACUUAUUUCACAAUACUCACAUGUUUAUCUCGAGUCAUAGUGAUAGUAUUCAAGCAUGUUGGAAGGAUCAUGAUAUUGUUCUGAUCUGUUAUAGAGAUAGUGAUAAGUCUACAAAAUAUAUGAGAUACAUUAGCAAGAAAACAAGAAUGACAAAUAAAUAUUUAUCCACAAAGCAAAAAACAUACCGGUACAUGUGUUCGGUGUUUGUGUAUUGCAUGUGCACCUCACCAAGUGUUGGAAUUUUCUCCUGAUCAGCAAAUCUUAGGAACACAUAUAGAAGAACUGGAGCUAAGAGUUCUAGAUUGAGUCUUGUCUAGACGGAUAGUUAUUAGAAGAACUGAAGCUACUUGAUCUACGGAUUCCAUCUUGGUCAGAAAAUGAAACCGAAAUUGACACUAAAUGCCUAAACUGGACUUGAGCUACGGGUUUAUUUUCACAGAUAAUAUAUAACAUCUUCACAUAUAACAGUAAACAAGACUAAUAUACUUAAAUUGACCACUAAAUACUCAGUUUUGGCAUCAAAUCCAAUUUUCUGGUAAAAAAUGGCGAUUUAUCAGUCUCAAAUAACGGUUUACCGGUCCCAGAAAACGGUUUACCAACAGUUUUCGGUUUUUAUGAUUUUUUUUUCAAAAUUUCAAAAUUUAAAAUGAAUUUUGAAAAAACCCGGUGGUUUACCGAAAACCGCACCCCGUCGGUUUCGGUAAACUGACCGAUUUACCGCCGGUUUUUACCGGUUUUGUAAACCAUGACUGCGAUACAACUCCAGGUGGCAAUCGUCCCCUUGCCUCCCUCCUUAGCAAAGCCCCAGCAGCGCAGCCACGCAUAGCGCAGCCCUGGCCACGCUACGCCCUCCGCUUGGCAGCCGAGGCAGCAGCAACGCGGCCGCUGGCCAGUGCCCUCCGCAUUCCACAGGCUCUGCUCGACACUUCUCUAGUCUCCAAGUCCAUACGACCAGCAGGCAACAGCAGCGCCACUGUUGAGGACUGAAGAUUGAGGAGGUCCGUAUUAUGUAUCAUAUCAUACUGUUGAAUGAAUUGAUCAAAUUGUACUUAUGGUUUCCAUAUUUCAUUUUUAUGUUUAUAAAUGAAUUUGAUUUAGAAAGUGCAACCUGAUCUUUAUAAAUCUUACUGUUCAGAGAAUAUUUUGAACCAAUAAGGGAGAUCAAGCAACGAUAAUGACAGGAACAACCAGAAUCUAUCUCAGUUUCGAAAUAGCUGGUGAAGAUCAAUAAUCUUUGAGUAUCAAAUGUCCUGGCGGACAGGAAUUCCAGCCUACUGUCUUGAUGACUUCAUCAUUUAGGUCACUCAAUUAGAUGUAAAUAAAUUAUGUCACGUUAGUUCUGAUAAAAUGAGCAUGCUGCAUAUUGUGCAAGAGCUAUCAGUGAAAUGUGUGGGUAUCUGGUAAUUGCAUUCAAUCCAAUGAGCACUUGAAUAUUGACCGGCAACAUGAUUGUGCUCAUACGACAUAUGUUCUAUUUCUUCCUUUCAAAUUUGAGUAUCCGCUUAAGAUGGAGGUUUCAAUUGUAACUAUUGAACUCUGAAUCACACGUUGAAGGUGCCAUCGAGAGCUCUGAAUUGCAGCGGGGUGAUUUUGGGAACUUCUGUUAAUGCUCAUACUAUUAAAACUAAUUGAUAGUUUAACUCCUUGCAUGUGAAUCAUCACAAUUAUAAUACAUCAACAUAAUGUUGCUUACUAAAUGGAUCAAAUUAUACUAUUGAUGUUCAGUUUGAUGAUAUUAUUGUUGCAUGUGACAUAUAUACUUCUUAUGUGUCAUUUUGUGUUUACAUUUCCUAUUAUGUCAUGCUUAGAUUCUAAAAGUUGCAAGACAUCGGUUUGUGGUCGGACAAAAUUUAACUUCAUAGUGUGGUGCAACCAAAGUUGACCUUGCUUUAGGAUCCAGAUUUAGCAACUUAGAUACAAAAGUACGAUAUACCCUUAUCUGUUUUAUUAUCUGGCAUUGAAGUUUCCAGACUAAUAUCCUCUUGGUGAAAUUUAGAGGUUUAUAACAGGGCCCAACUUUUGAUUCUAAGCUAGAUUCACCACUAUCUGACGGAGGUACCUAUGCUGCUUCACCGCCGCUUGCUUCUCCAACUCCCACAUCCCGCAGUUCGCCAUUUGUCUGUAGCUCUCUCCACUCUCCAACAAAGGUGAGGUGGCUUGUGCUUUGUGCGGCUCGCCCAAGUGCUUAGUCAAUCUAUGCUAAAAUGCAUUUAUAUUGCGUCUUUAUAGAAUUUAGUUAACAAAAGGAGAAAGAUAUGCUCUGACACCCAAUUAGCAGCAAUCAUAUAAUUGCUCUGAAAACAGAUCUCCUUUUCCAUUUGCUUAGCCCACCAUUUUAGCCCUUCCCUGUUAUCAAUUCUUUUUUGAUUAUCCUAAGAGAGGUACAACAUAUAAAAAGGUCUAAAACAAGUAAAUAUCUUGUGCUGCCAACUUGGUUUAUUCUAUAUGUAAUGGAUUCCUUUUAUUCACACCUACACUUCCAAACUUUCAUACAAUGAUUUGUAUGUGUAGAACAUGGCUAACCUAUGUGCUCAUGCUUUACAAACCCUAUCAUAUGUCACAGAAAAAAUCCUUACCUAAGGAAAGAACUAACCCUGAAGCUCUUCAAGCUCUACAUUUCAGUUCUUAUAGCCUUAAAAAUGUUUUGCCACUUCAUAAUGUAAGAUCUCAUGACAAUCAAAUUGUUCAGGUCAAAUUCUGUAAAUAACCAACAUCUACUAACCUACAUUUUGUAACUUGGUGCCAUGACAAUCACGUAAUGUUGAUGAUCUAUUUAUUCGAAGUUGCUGAUUGCAUCAUUGCAUGUGAAUUACCACGUACGGCUAUUUGGUUGUCCUUACCUUUCUUAUGAUCUGUUCGAUGUACUACAUAUUAUCGUUAUUUAACUAAUGCCUAGAAAAGUGGAUAGUAGUUGGUAGUGUUCAGAUCCACAACUAAUGGAUUAGUUAAUAGGUUGGGAGAAUAAUGUUCCUGUUAGCUCCCAUUAGAUAAUAUUAUCUAGAUUUGGGGUAGAUAAUAAGGUAAUGGGGAUUUAGAAACAAUCUAAAGUUUAUUCCCAUCUAUUACCCGUACCUAUUUAUAUCCAUAGAGCUAAAAUUUAGCAGAUUGCUAGAUUCUCAUUAUCAGUCUAGAUCUGCUAGAUUUUCUCAUUAUCAGUAUGGUUUCAAACAUGUCCCAAGUGUAUAAUUUAAGAGUUUAUAGGAGUAACCAAUUUGUUUUACCUUUGCUAUUUAACCAACGUCAAAAUGCUUAACUAUUUCAUACUUGCCUUGUGGGAAUGUUCAAUGUCGACAACGUAUUACUCUAUCAGAAGGUACCAGCUCCGAAUCAAGAACCGAAUUUCCGGGGAAAAAUCGGACGCCCCGUUCGUCUUCACGGCCUUCGCCCCUGUUCUUCCUCUCCAACCUACUGCCCCCGCCCACGGUCGCAGCUGCGAGCCAACCGAUGCUCUUCGUCGCAGGUACGAGGUGAGUCGGUCUUGCUCCUGGCCUGUCUUCGUGCGUGCCGCUGAUAGGACACGGUGGCAUCUGCCACGCUUAGGUUAUCUUGGUGAUGAGGAGUCCAAGUCUGAGAUAUUGGACAACCAAGGUCCGUAGCGCGACAGUAGUCGGCAUAUGCUACGGAGUUGAUGGUGGUGUUGUUUCGCCUCGGCGGGUCCUAGGAAGGCACUCGCAUUCUCUCGUCUUUCUCGGACCGACGCCUGGUGCGGGUGCCUCCCUUUUUGGAGCUGCUCCAGCUGGACUUCUUUCUCCGCUUGCAUGCUCUCUUCCUAUAUGUAUCUAGCGGUAUACUACCUAUGUCGUUUCUAGAUGUCCAGUUCUUCGUCGUGUCCUUCUCCGGCAACGAACAGGUAUGUCCGUCUCUUCCCUUCCCUUUCUGCUCUACGAAACCUUGGAAGUGAGGAGGCGAAGGAUGGGGAUCACUGAUUUGGUGCAUAUGGUACCUGUUCAAUGGCUCGGUAUCGCCUGUCUACAUGGCCUUUUCCUUACCAUGGUGUCGACUCGGUAUGCUUCUAUCGCUUUUAUGUACCUAUCACCCAUCCUUGUGUCAUUGCAACAAUUAUUGUGUUGUUUCUAUUUGUUUUGGGUGUUAGUUUUUUUGUUGUGCUAACGACUGAACAUAAUUUGAGUGUGUUAAUACUUUAUUUAUUGUCUGCACAUGGUUGCGUUCUUCUGAUGAUGGCUCAUGAAUCCUGCAAAAUAUGUGUUAGAAUUUGGAGAUCCAUGCGAGCACUACCAUAGGGUGCUCGUCACCAUGGUUAUUAAAACGUCGUUUAAACAACGAUUAAUCGUCGUUUAAACGCUAAAUCGUGAUUAGUGGCUGGAACGUCUGCACGUUUUUCAAAAACCGCGUAGAACGUCCGUUCUGGACGUUUAAACGAUGUUAAAACGUCGGAACGUCCGUUCUAGACGUUUUCUCUGUUUUGUGGACGUUCUACGCGCCUGUGUACUAGUGGGCCUUAAUGGGCCGCCUUUAGUCCUUUACCCACCCAGCCGGCCUGCUAUCCACCGCCCAGGAGCAGCCAGAGGCUUGCGCGCGCGCCCAGCCGCCCAGACGCAGACGCUCCAGCCGCCAGACCGCCUAGACGCCGUCAGCCGCUCUCCACGCUCCAGGUAUGUCGCCCCCUCCUCCAUCCUCCCUCCUCCCUCCUCUCCCUCCUCCCUCCAGGUAUGCUGUCGCUGUCGGCCGCCCUCCAGAAUCCCUUGGCUGUAGUGCUGAAUCCCUUGGCUGCUGAUUCCCUUAGUAUAACCAGUGUGUUAAACUUGAAUCCCUUGGGCCUUGGCUGCUGAUGUUCAUAAACUGCUUAGUAUAACCCAGCAUCACAACCAGCAACGAAUUUCAAUUGCAAAGUGUGGGCUGUGUGGCAGUGAAUUCCACUGUGGCUGUGUGACUGUGGGCUGAUGUUCAUUCCACUGUGUGUUGCACUGUUGCAGGCUAAAGUGUGGGCUGUGUGGCAGUGAAUUUCAAUUGCAAUGGCAACAAAUAGCGAGGCUAAUGACUCCUAUGACCCACUCAAAGAUUAGUCACAAUAGCUGUGUGUGCACUGUUUCUUUUUAUGCUAAUGCUAUUUGGUUUGUGAAUUCAACUUAUGUAUGAACUUAUUCUAUAUUUGAAAUUCUAUGUCAAGUCUGAAAAGACGUUUCAACGUUCGUUUAAACGUUUAAACUUUGAAAAGUUGGUUCAUAACGUUUUAACGUUUUACCGUUUUAAUAACCAUGCUUGUCACUUGUGUUCUUGGCUCUUGCAAACAUUAGGUCGUUUCUGAUACCACAUUGGCGCAAUGGACUACAUGGUGUUUGAGGUUGUUGAAUUGUAUGGAGCAACAAUAAUUUGUCACACUAACAAUAAAAGAAAUGUUAUUUGUUGGUUUUAAAAGUUUGUAAUUGCUAUAAAGUACCAUAAUUUGUAUGGAGCACAUCCAGUUUUUAUUGAUGCAUGACUUUAGCAACCACUCCAUAUUUUGAUCUAUCUUUUUUUUAUAAGUUUGAGUUCACGUGACUUAUUUUAGAAACUUGAACUCACAAACUUUUUUUUAUUUGGACUCUUUAUGGUGGAAUUAUGUUAUUCUAUAAUCUCUGUUUGUUCAGUCAGUCGUUGUGAACUCUCUUCUAAUCGCUCACUUCAUUGGUCGUCUUGUACCAAGACAUAUUGGAUGGAAAAAACAACAACAUUAGUUAGUCAAAUCAAAAAAUAUUAUGUGGAGAGUGGAGACAAUUAAUAAAAAAUCUUGAGAUCUUUUUAAUGGAUAGUUUAUGUGGAUAUUGUUGUGAGCUGUCGUAACGCACGGACAACCGACUAGUACUAUAUUAGAGCACCAGUUUUCAUGAUUCCACGGUUUUUACCGUCGACGUGCUCUCUAAUGUUUAAAUAGUAAAAAUACUAAAAUUAUACAUAAAUGAAGAUUUAAGUCAUAAUUGUUCUGGCUCUAAACAUACAUUCACAACCACUUAGUCAACGAAACAUAAAUGUAUUUAUACUUUAUAUUCUAUAUUUAAAUAUAAAUAGAAACAUAUCAAUUUACGGAUACUUGGCUAGUAUAUAUAAGCCAAAAGAUGUCCUACAACGAGUCAACGACUAGCAUUUUCGAUGGCACAAAACAAGAAAAUUUUCUAAUGGGCCAAGAAACUGGGCGAACUGGGUGGUGGUACAGCUUGGUCACAUAAGUUGGGGCCCAUUUAUACUUCAGGCCUACUAAUGCAACCCAACUGCCAAAUCGCGCAGGCAAAGAUGAACGGGCUAGAUCGAUCCACGCAACUUAUAUAAGAACCAAUCGUCUGUCUUCUCUGCCCUCUCGUCCAAAACCCUAGCCCUUGCGCCGCCGCCUCCUCCGCCACCCAGCGCUCGAGCUCCUCGCGUCCUGCGAGCGCGCGCCGCAACGCCACCAUGAAGGUAAGCUACUCCCGGCCUUUCCCGCGAUAGGCGGUGUUUGUGGGAAUCUAGUAUCUGAUCUGUGCGCACUUUCCAGUUCAACAUCGCGAACCCUUCCACCGGGUGCCAAAAGAAGCUGGAAAUCGAUGACGACCAGAAGCUGUGAGUGUUUCGCGUCCUCCAUCUGCUCUGUAUUUUUUCGUUUCUCUUAGAUCUGUGGGAGUGGUGUUUUGCUUCGAGCCCACUUUGUAGCUGAUGGUGCCUUGAUUGAGUAUUUGAGGUCUAGUACUUAAUGCAUCAGUUUGUUCUAUGUGGUUUUACCAACUUGUCCCUUGUCUCAUUAAGCACUCUUCCUGCUUAGAUUCAUUUACUUAGGCUGCUUGCUGUUGCCCACUGGACCAUCUAAUACUUGCUAUAUCCAUAUAUAUUAGCUUUAUUAUCCGGAUAUAAUAUAAUGCCUUGUAUGGAAUAGUAAACUAGCAAUAUAAAAACAUACAUGAUUAGCAUAGUCUUAUGAGGUAUUGGAUUUUUAGAUAUACUCCAUCCCCAUUUUUUUGUUUCUUGAAUGGAUCGUUGCUGGUGUUUUUUUCGUGUCCAAUGAUUUAAAUUAGGAAAGCAGCAUCUUGAUUUGCGUUAAAUGUUGUUUAAAUCGUGUUAAAAUUCAUUAUUUGUUGAACUUAGGAGCAGGGAAUUGUUUCAUUGCCGUGUUUUAAAUUGUGGUGAGAAUUGAUAUUUCAUAUAGGGGCUUAGAGCAACUUAGUCCUUAGGGUAAUAGUUUAUUUCUAGAAAUUAUACUGACUUGAUUCAAAAUGGUUGUAGAUCAUUAUGUUCUGUUUUAUUUGUUUGAAAGUGCACUUUACUAUCUAGCUUUUGAGUUAAUGAAAAUGUCUUCUGUGAAGUUAUAAUCUAUUCCCUCUGUCCUCAAAGCAUACUACUGUGUUAAACCAUUUUGAUUUUGGCUAGGUUUAUAUGAAAUUUAUCAUUAUUUCUGAUACCAACUAAAUGUCAUUAGAUCUGUCACUCUUUUCUAUAAAUUUCUUUACACUUUAGAAAGUUUCUCUAGAAAUAGAGCUAUAAUUGUGUUUUUGUAUGGACCGAGGUAUCAAAUAAACAGAUGCUAUUUCUUCUUGGUCUUCCUUGCUUAGUUUGCUGAUAAACCUUUUGUAUCAACUAUAGGCGUGCCUUUUAUGACCGAAGGAUAUCCCAGGAGGUCAGUGGUGAUGCUCUGGGUGAGGUAAACUUUGGGGUGACUUAUUUCUUGAUCCAUGACUCUUGCUGAUUUCAUACUUAAAAAUAUAGGUGUGAUAUGUUUCUUUGUUUUGCAGGAGUUCAAGGGUUAUGUCUUCAAGAUCAUGGGUGGAUGUGACAAGCAAGGCUUCCCAAUGAAGCAAGGAGUUUUGACUUCUGGUCGUGUUCGUCUUCUGCUCCAUAGGGGUAUAGAGACUUCCUAUGUCCAGUGUACUCUCAACACCAUCUUUUACUCUGAUUCUUAUCUGAACAUUCGAUAUCAAUUCUGUAGGCACUCCCUGCUUCCGUGGUUAUGGCAGGCGUAAUGGUGAGCGCAGGAGGAAGUCUGUCCGUGGUUGCAUCGUGAGCCAAGACCUAUCUGUUAUCAACUUGGUGAUUGUGAAGAAGGGUGAGAAUGAUCUGCCUGGUCUGACUGACACUGAGAAGCCAAGGAUGAGGGGUCCCAAGAGGGCCUCCAAGAUCAGAAAGCUGUUCAACCUUAACAAGGAUGAUGAUGUACGCAAGUACGUGAACACAUACCGCAGGACAUUCACUACCAAGAACGGUGAGCUUCCUUGCAUCAAACUGCAGUUGAAUUUCAAUGUCUUGGUAAAGUAGACUUGACUUUGGUUGGGUUCGACAGUUUGUCUCCCAAGUGCUUGCAUGCUUUGUCUUGGUUACUUACUCUUCUACUUGGUACUCUGCUUGUUAUACGCUGGAUGGGUUUCUUGACAAUGAGCCACAGUUUUCUGAAGUUUUCGAACCACAACAAGCUAACCUGUAUGUUUCCUUGGCAG
rnacentral:lncRNA from 1 species